CCUACGGGAGGCAGCAGUGGGGGAUAUUGCACAAUGGGGGAAACCCUGAUGCAGCGACGCCGCGUGAGUGAAGAAGUAUUUCGGUAUGUAAAGCUCUAUCAGCAGGGAAGAAAAUGACAGUACCUGACCAAGAAGCGCCGGCUAACUACGUGCCAGCAGCCGCGGUAAUACGUAGGGGGCAAGCGUUAUCCGGAUUUACUGGGUGUAAAGGGAGCGUAGACGGUUAUGUAAGUCUGGAGGGAAAGCCCGGGGCCCAACCCCGGGACUGCUUUGGAAACUGUGUAACUGGAGUGCAGGAGGGGCAGGCGGAAUUCCUGGUGUAGCGGUGAAAGGCGUAGAUAUCAGGAGGAACACCGGCGGCGAAGGCGGCCUGCUGGACUGAAACUGACGUUGAGGCUCGAAAGCGUGGGGAGCAAACAGGAUUAGAUACCCCGGUAGUC
rnacentral:rRNA from 1 species